GUUAGACCCUAUGUCCACCUCCUUGCCUCUCGAACUUUUAUCGGACCUUGAGUUCUCCCCUUUUUUCGAGCUCCUUGUAGCCCUAAAGUCCUCCCCAUUUGGAAUGGUGUACUCGAGGAUGAAAUCUACUAGCACUUAGGCCUUGAUAGAAGGCCACAGAUGGUACUGCACGUCCAACUCAGCGAGUUCCAAUGACCAUUUUGCAAUUGCCCCGAGAUAUCUAGACAGUGGAGAACAGCUUUAAUUGGC
rnacentral:lncRNA from 1 species